GGCACCAAGGCAGAGCAAGUAAAUCUCAGCUCCGUUGGGCUUCCUCUGGGAUGACAGGAGUAUGACUAAAGCCAUUCCCAAAACAGAGACCUCUUACAAGUGGUGUUUGUUACAGAAAAAUAUUGCUUGGCUUAGCUCGCUAGGAAAGAUCUGGGAGACCUUUGGACAGAAGAUGCCAUAGGAAUGCCCAGCUUUCACCGGGGAAUACAAGUUAUGUCCUCCGCAGCACUGCUUUAAGCCAAGCCUCAGCUUUGGAAGGAUUAGACUCUACUAACAGCUGCUUAUUUGGGGACCCUGAUCCUGGUCACCCUCCGGCACCGAGGAGGCUCGGGUUGACAGUGUGAGGUCCUGCCAAAUGUCCCUCACAGCUGCAGCUUGAGCAAAACCUGACAGGGAAACAACAAUCUGCAGGCAUCACUUGCAGGGCACUUGAAGAAAGCCUCCUGUGUGUCCUUUGAAACUUGUUCUGCAUUGACUGCAUCAUGUCAGCAAAGUGUGUAAUAACCUC